UACGAAGGGGGCUAGCGUUGUUCGGAAUUACUGGGCGUAAAGCGCACGUAGGCGGAUCGAUCAGUCAGGGGUGAAAUCCCAGGGCUCAACCCUGGAACUGCCUUUGAUACUGUCGAUCUGGAGUAUGGAAGAGGUGAGUGGAAUUCCGAGUGUAGAGGUGAAAUUCGUAGAUAUUCGGAGGAACACCAGUGGCGAAGGCGGCGACCUGGGUAGAUACUGACGCUGAGGUGCGAAAGCGUGGGGAGCAAACAGG
rnacentral:rRNA from 1 species